rnacentral:sRNA from 1 species
AGUAAUGCAUAUUGCCGAAGACAGUAGGUGCCGAAAGGCGUAAACGUAGUGCCUACCGAGGAAGUUUUAAGAUGGGAUAACCAUCGCUUAAAAUGACUUAUACCUCUCUGUCUAGGCAGAGAGGUUUCUUUGAUUU